ensembl:snRNA U6 U6 spliceosomal RNA
GUGUUUGCUUUCACAGCCCAUAUACUAAAAUUGGAAUGAUACAGUGAAGAUUAGCAUGGCUCUAGCACAAGGAUGACACACAAAUUCGUGAAGCAAAAGUUAUGGCU